UUGAAAUAAAUCUGAUGAGUUGUUGCUGGUUCUCUAUGGAACAUUGUGCACACUUGUUGUCUUUAUAUCUCUCCACCUGUGCACCUUUUGUAGACCUGGAUAUCUUUCCAAGUGCCCUUGCACUUGGGUUUGAGGAUUGAUUUUAUUGUCUUUCCUUACAUUUCCAGGUCUAUGUUUCUUCAUAUACUCUAAUGCAUAUUAUUGAAUAUAAUCAAAUGGGGUGUUAUAGCCUUAUAAACCAUAUA
rnacentral:misc_RNA from 1 species